CUUUCUCUUUGCAAACCUCAAGAUAGGACGUAAUGUGCCAAGCAAGUUCUUCCAAAAAUCUUGCAGAGAACAAGCUGGCAACUUUUCCAGUAAUUUGUGGUUGUGAAAGAUGAAUAGUAGACAUUUCAGGAAAGGGAAGUGUCCUGGGGCAAUGCGUUAUAUAGAUAUUCACUUCUGGACUGGAAAUCUCAUUCUUGAGUGCCUACCACAGUGAUUGGAACAUAAUAGAUGCUAAAGAAAAUUCCUCUUAAAUAAAUGAUGCAGGUUCAUCUAA
rnacentral:lncRNA from 1 species